GCUGUGCUACUGGCCUGCUGGCUGCUGCUCGCCUAGUCGACUGCUCCAGCCUCCAGUGCUCUGUGCAGCUGUGCUCUGUCCUCUGCUGCUCGCCUAGUCGCCUGCUCCAGUGCCUAGUCGCUGACUUGCUGUCUUGCUGAGUGUUGGGCAUGGCCCUGCUGCAGUGCUGCUCUGCCUGCUUCGCUGCUCGCCUCAAUCAUUCAGCGCCUGCCGCCUCCGCCUAGCAAGGGAAGACUCAGCUUAUCAAUCAUUUUCUAAUCAACAAGAGUUGGUAUAUUGUUAAUUUGCCUGGAUAUGGGUGAGUCUCUGUAAUUUUGGUUUUAAUUUGGGUAAUUUCUGUAAUUCUUGAGUCUAUUUCAUGCUGGGAAUAUUGUAUACUUGUAUUGUGAAUCAAUUGUUAUUCGUGUUUAUUCCUGAUCAUAUGCUUGAAUCAUAUUGAAGUGCCAAAAAAGGAUUGCUUUUACGCCUUGAGGCAUUGCUUCAAAAUUAUUGAUCAUCCUGUAAAACAUGUUGCGGACUGAUAUGUAUUUAGGCUACAUCCGUUGUAGUUAAUUUGGUCUCCAAUCGUGUUGUUUAUUUUCAAGUUUAGGAAGUAAAUGUCUCCUUACAUGU